AGCAGCCCUGAAAAGGCAAAGGUCCUCGUGUGCGCAUGCGUGACAGACUUGUGACGGUUGCCUGCAUCCUGUCUUCAAUCCCCAUGUUUCCAAAGAGACCUAGAUGCUUCUAGCAGUUGCAUGCUUCAUAGGACCAAGGUUUCAUACCAUCUAGUUAUUAAAAUUAUUUGACAAACUUGUGAGGGAAAACCAGAUCUAGAUGCUAGCGAAGCAAAAUCCGCACACAAAGAUUUUAUUCAGGAUUAUUGUAACUGGGACAAAAGAGACCUCGGUAUAGAUUUGGGACCAACUCUGAGCAUCAAAUGGACACUUAAAGUCAAGUGACAGAGUGGAGUUCCUCUUAGUGUCUGCACCAAUGACCUUAUCGUUUUCAUCAACAACAAUCAUCAUCUCAUCUAAACGCUCCAGCUGGUGUUUAUCGAUCCAGUCAACAGUGACAUCAGACAUGUCUACUAGCUGUGAUCCGACCUGUGUAAAAGAGUAGCACCAUCUACUGUUUUGCUAUUUGUUAUCAGACACCUCCAAGGUCAUCACACACCUUCAUCCCUCAAUGACAAAAAACACUAUCUACGGACGCAAUAGUGCUGUUAGGUACCAACAGGGCAUGUGUGUUUCCACUUGUAUAUUUCUGUAGAGAACCUCUUGAUGACUUUCUGAGUGAGAACAUAGCCCUCAAGUUCCCUUGAGUCUUUUCAAAGAUGACCCAAAGGUAAAUCUCCACAAAAUGAAUGAAUACCGAGGAAAAGUACAUGUAAUGCUGUUUGUGACAUAUUUCAAAAUGAAGGCCUGGCGGUUGGAACAGACCUGGAGACAUUCUAUAUAGUCUUUCCAGAAAGUCAUGUUCACCCAUAGAAAGGCUAGUGUCUCCCUCUUAGUGUCUGUCUUAGUUAGGGUUUUACUGCUGUGAACAGACACCAUGACCAAGGCAAGUCUUGUAAGGACAACAUUUAAUUGGGGCUGCCUUACAGGUUCAGAGGUUCAGUCCAUUAUCAUCAAGGUGGGAGCACGGCAGCAUCCAGGCAGGCAUGGUGCAGGAGGAGCUGAGAGCUCUUCAUCUUCAUCUGAAGAUGCUAGCAGGAUACUAGAUUCCAGGCAGCUAGGAUGAGGGUCUUAAAACCCACACCCACAGUGACACACCUGUAACAGGACCUCACCUCCUAAUAGUGCUGCUCCCUCGCCCGAGCAUAUACAAACCUUGACAGUGUCCAGAUGGAUUUUCUAAGAACAUAUUGUCAGUAACAAUUGUUUUGACCAAGUGUUUCUAUUUUCUUUCCCCUCUUGUUUGUGAGUCCAAGACAGUUUUUCUAUGUAAUCCAAGUUGGGAUCAAUUUAAUUCAUUAGCCUUCUGCAAAAGCCUCCUAAGGAUCGGUAAGAUUGGCACGGGUCCCUAUGCCCGGCUUUUGCCCUCUUUAAAGAAAUAUGAAGAGGGAGGGUAAAUACAGUCAAUUCCUUAUGUAGGUAUAGAAAAUGUCAGAGUGAGACCCAUUAUUGUGUACAGCAAACGUAUGUUAGUAAGAGAAGCAAACAGUCACAUUAAAGACUUUGUAAUUCA
rnacentral:sRNA from 1 species